rnacentral:sRNA from 1 species
GAUACCAGGGUCAAAACUACCUAUGUCCACUUGAGCUUGCUCAAGAGUGGACAUAGGCAGUUGGGACCCGCCCCAGCUAUGAGCAUAAAAGUGGGACGCAGUCCCACGAUAUGCGAAUAGAUGGGUAGGAUUGCGAGAGCACGAAGUGCGGAGCAAUCCGUAGGUAUC